GAAUAUUGGACAAUGGGCGCAAGCCUGAUCCAGCCAUGCCGCGUGUGUGAAGAAGGCCUUCGGGUUGUAAAGCACUUUUGUACGGGAAGAAAAGCUUUCGGUUAAUACCCGGGAGUCAUGACGGUACCGUAAGAAUAAGCACCGGCUAACUUCGUCCCAGCAGCCGCGGUAAUACGAAGGGUGCAAGCGUUACUCGGAAUUACUGGGCGUAAAGCGUGCGUAGGUGGUUUGUUAAGUCAGAUGUGAAAUCCCCGGGCUCAACCUGGGAAUGGCAUUUGAGACUGGCAGGCUAGAGUGUGGUAGAGGUGAGUGGAAUUUCAGGUGUAGCGGUGAAAUGCGUAGAGAUCUGAAGGAACAUCAGUGGCGAAGGCGACUCACUGGGCCAUUACUGACGCUGAGGUGCGAAAGCGUGGGGAGCAAACAGG
rnacentral:rRNA from 1 species